rnacentral:lncRNA from 1 species
UGUUCCUACAGCUGUAUGAAAUAAUAUUGUGCUUAUCUUCUGUAGUUAAUAUCUGUAACUCUUUAAGCUGUAUCAGAAUUCUCUCAGAUCAAACCCCAAGGUCUUACCCUGGAAAGUGCAUGUUUCCACACUCUAAACCAUGUUUUCACAUUUCAACUGCUUUCCAAAAACUCUGUGCUACCCGAAUAAUAACUGCUUUAUUACCAUGCUCCACCUCUGGCCACAUGCUAACUUCACAUAAUUGUGCUGUACUUUUCUAAAAAUUUUUAUGGUCAAGUCAAAUCUCAACUGCCUCCUGGAAUUCUUCCCUUCUAACGUGUAACUCUCUCGGCCCAUUUUCUCUGCAUCCAAAAUGCAAUCAACUGCAUUAUCUCCUGAUCUAGCCACUAAACUAACACUAUAUGUACAUAAAAUGUAAAUAAAAUUCAUUAUAUGAACUCUCUCAGCAGCUAGAAAUAAAGAACAGGAGGAACAUGUGUUUUGUAUUUCCUUAUAUCCCCUGUAACGAAAUUUACUGCACCUGUCUCCUCCCAACACAUAGACAAGAAAGAAUAUGAAGUCAUUGAAAAAGCAAAAUACAUGAAGAACAGUUCAAUUGAUCUCAAGCAUGUUAAAAUUAUUCCUUAAAAAGAUAAGAAACCAAACUUUUCUAAAUAGUUGGUUCUCUGUCUUCAAGACCUACUAAAAAGAAAGCUCUUACUUUUAACAAUGUAACAUUUUUUAUUCCUUCUCUCCUUUUCUUAUCUCUACUUAUUUUUGAUUAUCCUCACCUUUCUCAAAGCAAAGGCAAAUUUAAAAGUUCAAAACUAUAAUGGGAUGGGUAAAGCAAGCCAUAAUUUAUAUCAAUAAAUUAUCUAAGUAGAGCAGCUCUGUAACUCCACUGAUUUGCUCUUUUUUCUGCACAGAAGCUAAAGGCUAGAUUUAUAGCAGUAAGAUUGAUAGAACAUCUACAUAUAACUGAUAAAACUGAAGGCUCUGUGUUCGGUCUCCGUUCGAUUGUUUCUCAUCAGACAGAAGUUUUUUUUGUUUUGUUUUGUUUUGUUUUGUUUUGUUUUCCUCUAGUCCCUGAUCUGCAGCCUCUCCGUACUCUGUCCAGGUUUCAAAUGCUCUUCACUGAGCAUCAGUUUUAUUCAGCGCCCAGGAUUCUCUUAUCUACCGAUUAAGACUAACUUACUUAGCUGCAUUUUUUUUUCUGGAAGAAGCAUAUCAUUAAGGGGGAGAAUAUAGUUUUUUCGGUUUCCCGUUGGGAAGAUAAAACUCAGUAAUCUUUUUGCAUAGCAGAGAUAAAAACAGACAAAUGUAGUCAAGACAGAACAAUACACAGGAGAAUUCAAUUUGAUGUCCCAUGAGGGCCAUGGAAGAGAGAUGCAUGCAUUCUCUUUGCUCAAUAAUUUAGAUCCAAUCAAGACAAACUGUACAUUUACAUGAAAAGACAUACGAGAUAAAACAGAGUAUUUACUUUUACUUUUCGGAUGCUCCUGAUGCAGGGAUAACAGGAAUAUUAGUCACAAUAUACUUCAAAAUACAAUCCAUUUAACAAACCCUUACCGUAACACACUGAGGCCUCUCAAAGAGGAAGUACUGCAGGUUUUGAAAAAUGAAAUUGCAUCAUGCCUUUCAUGUAACUCCUAUGUUUUAUCAAGUGCAUAGUCCAUCACUGACAUUCAGUACUAAAAAACCAUGAGUGUCACUACACAUCCAACAAUAUCCUUUCUCCGUCAACCCCGACCCACCUGUAAGUUAAACCAUAGCAGAAUCAUUAACUCAUCUGGAGGAAAACAGACCUUUCAUGUUUCUUUUAUUCCAGAUGGGUAGGAUCUGAAAAAUGUCCAUCUCCUCUGCAAGCUUUCUUCCAGGGCUCCUUUAAAGGAAAUUACCAUAAAAGCCAAACCUGCAUGAAUCAAUAGGCUUUACCCAACAUACCAAAAGUGCUGAAAUGGAGACAAAUAAAAAAGCAUCACAAGUCAUCAAUAAUAAAUUAGUUUGUCUGCAGUAGUGACAUCAGGCCAAUGUGAGAAAGAACUUACUUCUGAGCUAUUUAGCAGUUCUAGCGUAAGACGAUUCCACUGAUGCAAGAGAUGAUUGAAAGAACAAUAAAACAUUUUCAUUUACCCACUGAAACUUUCCUCUUACCUUCAUCAACUUACUAAUUAAAAAAAAAUCUUUAAGUUGUUUCUUCCACUUGACUUUGUUUUGUAGGCACUUCUGACAAAAUCAGUAAGACUACACGUGAGAAAAGGAUUGUGACACAGUUUCCUACAUGAUCAUCCAAGGUUCCGUGAACCCACAGAACAAAUACUGAAGUUAGGGGGAGAUUUUGAAUUUCAAAAUGAAGUAAGGUCUUCAGGAAAUGGUGGGUAGAGGGGUGAUUUCAAAACUAUAAAACAAGCUGUAGGGAUCCAUGAGUCAGAGAUGGGCGAUUAAAAGACAUUGCUUUGAAUGAAUUAUAAUUUUAAUAGUUUCUCAGCUGCUAGUCACUCUUCACCCUUGUCAGAGAUUUUCAUUGGUGUUCUAUUUAAUACUCUGAACACAAGCAGAACGACAGCCAACAUAGUUAGGCCUCUGGCACAUGGCAGGCACGGACACAGAAUCAAGUUGAUUAAGUUCCCUUUGGAUAUGACAUCUUCACAUGCUUCACAUCCAUGUAAUUUUUUCAACCACAAACAAAUCCAAGUCUUUCAGGCCUCCUUGCUAAUCAUAGCUACUGUCUCCACAAAUGUUCAUCAGAUUUGCCUUCUGUAACCUGUCUCCAGGGUCCGUGAAUAUCUAUUCCACAGCAAAAAAAAAAAAAAAAAAGAAAAAAAA